rfam:Pteropus alecto contig103719, whole genome shotgun sequence.
CCAAAGGCUCUUUUCAGAGCCACCUCUCCCAGCUGGAAAUGGAGCGU